rnacentral:rRNA from 1 species
GUCCACGCCGUAAACGUUGGGCACUAUGUGUGGGGCUCUAUCUACGGGUUCCGUGCCGAAGCUAACGCAUUAAGUGCCCCGCCUGGGGAGUACGGCCGCAAGGCUAAAACUCAAAGGAAUUGACGGGGGCCCGCACAAGCGGCGGAGCAUGUGGCUUAAUUCGAUGCAACGCGAAGAACCUUACCAAGGCUUGACAUGCUGGGUAAUCCGUGGAAACACGGUGAUCCUUCGGGAUCCAGCACAGGUGGUGCAUGGCUGUCGU